rnacentral:rRNA from 1 species
AUUGAACGCUGGCGGCAGGCCUAACACAUGCCAGUCGAGCGGAUGAAGGGAGCUUGCUCCUGGAUUCAGCGGCGGACGGGUGAGUAAUGCCUAGGAAUCUGCCAGGUAGUGGGGGAUAACGUCCGGAAACGGGCGCUAAUACCGCAUACGUCCUGAGGGAGAAAGUGGGGGAUCUUCGGACCUCACGCUAUCAGAUGAGCCUAGGUCGGAUUAGCUAGUUGGUGGGGUAAAGGCCUACCAAGGCGACGAUCCGUAACUGGUCUGAGAGGAUGAUCAGUCACACUGGAACUGAGACACGGUCCAGACUCCUACGGGAGGCAGCAGUGGGGAAUAUUGGACAAUGGGCGAAAGCCUGAUCCAGCCAUGCCGCGUGUGUGAAGAAGGUCUUCGGAUUGUAAAGCACUUUAAGUUGGGAGGAAGGGCAGUAAGUUAAUACCUUGCUGUUUUGACGUUACCAACAGAAUAAGCACCGGCUAACUUCGUG